GUGAAUCAUCAAAUUUUUGAACGCAAAUUGCACUCUACUCGGAGAGUAUGCCUGUUUGAGGGUCAGACUAUAAAAAAUAGACAUCGUUGCUGUUUCGCGGUGGCGUUCGUCGGAAAUUGGGGCAUUUUAAAUCUUUUGGUUUUAAGCGACCUAAAAUUUUCCUUUUGGUUCCAUGUACGUUUCUAAGAUUUAUUUAUUUACACGUUCAAGGUAUCGAUUUUUAUUAGACGUGACAAUCAUAGCGGUUCGCGCACAUAUAAUU
rnacentral:misc_RNA from 1 species